AAGUCGUAACAAGGUCUCCGUUGGUGAACCAGCGGAGGGAUCAUUAUCGAGUUAUUCAACUCCCAAACCCUAUGUGAACUUACCACUUGUUGCUUCGGCGCGCGCUUCGGCGCCGCCGAGGACACUUAAACUCUUUGUUUUUAUAAGCAUUUCUGAGUGGCCGAAAGGCAAAAAUACAAAUGAAUCAAAACUUUCAACAACGGAUCUCUUGGUUCUGGCAUCGAUGAAGAACGCAGCGAAAUGCGAUAAGUAAUGUGAAUUGCAGAAUUCAGUGAAUCAUCGAAUCUUUGAACGCACAUUGCGCCCGCCAGCAUUCUGGCGGGCAUGCCUGUUCGAGCGUCAUUUCAACCCUCGAGCCCGACUCUUUUGAGGACGGCUCGGCGUUGGGGGACGGCAGACUCCCCCCGGCAUCUCGCCGGGGACGCCGCCCCCGAAAUCUAGUGGCGGCCCUCCGAGGCGACCUCUGCGUAGUAACUUGUUCUCGCACCGGAAAGCUCAGAGCGGCCACGCCGUAAAACCCCAACUUUUUUCAGGUUGACCUCGAAUCAGGUAGGACUACCCGCUGAACUUAAGCAUAUCAAUA
rnacentral:rRNA from 1 species